CGUUCCAGUCUAGACACGCCUUUAAAGAUUUUAAUGGGCUCCACAAUCGUCGUUCUGGGAAACGUUUAAGCCGAAUGGAAACAAGGCAACCAGACGAAGGACGCCCUUUUCCAUUUCAUUUCGUCUCACGUUCAUACGCAGUAGAUUUGAUCGAUCAUUAGAAUUUUUGGAAAGUUUGAAAGUGAUCGAUCUGACUGUGAUUGUAUCAGUGAUUAGAUCUGUUGAAUCCUAAACAUCGUUUCGUAAUCUUUCGUCAGAAAAUGUCAUUCUCUGAUCAUACUUCGUAGUCAUUCUUCAUUUCGAUCGAAACUACAUCGAGAUAAUUGGAAGGUAGGUGCUGACCGAUCUUCCUGUCGAAAACUCUGAUUUUAUUAGCCUUAAGUAUAGAAAUUUGAGUAAAAUAGUCAUUCAACCUGAAGAUUAUCUAACUUCAAAUUAGGUCAUUUGAAAAUUGCUGUGCACGCGCUAAGGACAAUUUGUUGCGCGAUGGUUUUAUCGCUUACGAAAAGGACAUUCGUUUAUAUGGAAGUACGCGCAUCGUACGACGCGACUGCAGAACGACCUUUUUUGUUAUUAAAAAAAGAAAUUGAACUUUUGAUUGAUGCGAGCCACAGCGACAAAACUAUCGCUAGUGCGCGUUUAGCCUUAAAGUCUUUUCAUUUCCUUCGAGGUCAUAUUAAGAUCAUUUUGAUUGGUGGAAGUUUUUGAGAAAUUAUUUCAAAGUCCCUUCAAAGUCAUCAUCGAUAAAAGUCGCGAUAAUUUGCGUGGCAAUCGGGAGUAUUAUAAUUCUUCUCAGGUUCAUCAAAUCGGACAAUUCCCAAUUUUAGAUUGGAUAUGCGAAGUCACCUAUCUGCUGCUUAAGUGUUUGAAAGAUGAAACAUGACGGGGCUGCAGUCGAUGCGUGUGUAGAUAGCGACAACAUCAUUAUUUCAUGACCGCAGGCUAGUGAAAUGGCGUCUACGUUUUCAGUACGGGUAAUACAUCCAUCCAUAGUUACAACGACAUUUUUAUCAUUAAAUAGCUUUGGGAAUCUUAUAAAAUGCCUUACCCAUUCCACAAAUAAUUUGCUUAUAUUAUAAUACAGCCAGUCUCUUAGCGGAAACUAAUUUCUCCUGUUUCUUCGAUUCUACUUCGUCCUUGUUGGGAUUGUUAGAUAUCGUUAUUGGAAGUAGAAACAGGUAUUCGCGAUUUUUUGUCUAAAAUGGAAUAUUACAAAGAUCGAUUUUUGCUUUUUUUACGCUCAUAAUGUUGAGCAUCGAGUUUGUGACGUUUUCUGCACAAAAGUCUCUGUAGGAUUCGAUGUAUUGUGACAUAUAUGCUAUAUGUGCUAUAUGUGUCAGCUAUCUGGGCAACGCUUUCGUCUUCUUUUAGCUUACCAUACGAUGUAUCUGAUCUUCUGUCGCAUUACAUUGUUUACAAUACGGACGUAUUACUAACGCAAACAAAUUCGCUGUCGUUAAACGCAUCUCUGUCUAAUGGCCAAAUUCCAUUUCCCAGAUUCGCUGAUAGCAUUUCUAACUGAUGCAGCUUUGGCAUAUGCUGCUACAAGUAUAGUUUGCUAUAUUUCGAAGAUCUUAGCAACGCUAAGAACACUGUACGAAGGUGCAAAAAUGUAUGAGACAUCCAAAAUAUAUUAAUACUCGUUAUGAUAUUAAAUAGAUCUCUGUCCAAUUUUCGUCUUUUAAAUUGUAUUUAUAAAAAUAGGAGUUUGUAAAUUUCCGCGUUCUACUUGUUGCUAAUGAAACGCAGAUGUACGAUAAGAUAUAGUUCUUGCUUCCUUUCUUCAAAUCAAAUUGCUUAAAGCAGUCUGCAAUUAAAGCAGAUCGCGCUUUUAAUCUUUGCAUUUCCAGUUUCUUCUUGCGUUAAUUUAUAUAAUUACUUAAAGCAGAAAUGCUUGAGCAAUUUCUAUUUAAGUGAAUUUUCAAUUUCCUUUAAAUUGACAGUGUUACCCUAAACGAAGUGUUAUUCUACGUAAAAAUAACAGUGUAAUUUUCUAUUACAAAUUGUUCAAGCGACAUUUAAGUGGAUAUGGAUGAAUCAAUAUACGUUAUGUUAUUAUACGCAAUACAAUAUUAUUAUGCACAUUAAUCUUAUAAUAGUUACCUGCUUAAAAAAAAUUCAUAUGUUUCAUUAGAGAAAUUUAUUAACGAAAUUCUUUAAAAAAUAAUGUAUAAUCUCAUAAAGCAACAUAAAUGACUUGAGAUUUAUGUAUGUAAACGAAAGAUUACUUUAUUAUUUACAGAGUCACAUGACAAUACAAUUACACACUAUUUACAACAAUAGUGAUAGAUGAAUUUUAUCGUCAUUAGA